CCAACAGAGGGGCCCAGCAACCUCCUUACAAAGAACCUUCAAAGCAGUGAACCCUCUUGAUUCCAGAUCCUCCUGAAGCCACUUCCCCGCCCCCUCCUCCAGGGACGCCCAGGAUCUCCCAGGCCACCCAAACAGCUCAGUCCGCAGAAAAACAGGGAAGGAAGUCAGGUGGAACCCGAAAAGACAUGGGACAAAAGGCAGGAUGAAGACCCCCGGUCCCAGGCCUCCAGGCCUACUGCAUUGACACUUCGCUGCUGGAUGCUUUCAGACUGAUGGCGCUUCCUGCCUGUCCUGGCUCUGCAGGGAAAAAAGUGAGGGAAGAAAGGCAGCCAGAUGUGAGAACGAUCCCAAGGUCUUUUUUUUUUGGAUGUGAUGUUAAAUAAACAUCCAAUGAUA